UNUGACUUGAGUGCAGAAGGGGAGAGUGGAAUUCCAUGUGUAGCGGUGAAAUGCGUAGAUAUAUGGGGGAACACCAGUGGCGAAAGCGGCUCUCUGGUCUGUCACUGACGCUGAGGCUCGAAAGCGUGGGUAGCGAACAGGAUUAGAUACCCUGGUACUCCACGCCGUAAACGAUGAGUGCUAGGUGUCAGGCCCUUUCCGGGGCUUAGUGCCGGAGCUAACGCAAUAAGCACUCCGCCUGGGGAGUACGACCGCAAGGUUGAAACUCAAAGGAAUUGACGGGGGCCCGCACAAGCGGUGGAGCAUGUGGUUUAAUUCGAAGCAACGCGAAGAACCUUACCAGGUCUUGACAUCCCGAUGCUAUUCUUAGAGAUAGGAAGUUACUUCGGUACAUCGGAGACAGGUGGUGCAUGGUUGUCGUCAGCUCGUGUCGUGAGAUGUUGGGUUAAGUCCCGCAACGAGCGCAACCCUUAUUGUUAGUUGCCAUCAUUAAGUUGGGCACUCUAGCGAGACUGCCGGUAAUAAACCGGAGGAAGGUGGGGAUGACGUCAAAUCAUCAUGCCCCUUAUGACCUGGGCUACACACGUGCUACAAUGGUCGGUACAACGAGUUGCGAGCCGGUGACGGCAAGCUAAUCUCUGAAAGCCGAUCUCAGUUCGGAUUGGAGGCUGCAACUCGCCUCCAUGAAGUCGGAAUCGCUAGUAAUCGCGGAUCAGCACGCCGCGGUGAAUACGUUCCCGGGCCUUGUACACACCGCC
rnacentral:rRNA from 1 species